AUGCAGUUCAGAAAUACCAUUUCCCAUCAGGCCAUGGCGACAGUGGUACUCGAUACAGUGCUCUAUCGAACACUAUACCAAUUUGCACACGAAUAAGUCUAGCGAAUCAUAAUCGGAAUAAAAUUUCAAUUUGUUCCUAAACUCAACCACUCGUGGCCAAGAAUUCUAGAAUUC